CCAAGUAUGACCACAUUCAUUGUCUUGUCAGUGUCAAAAUCAAGUACUCCUAUGUUGCCUACUACUGAUGGAAGUUCAAUGACUAUUAUUUUCAUAGCAGCUGGAGCUAUUGUACCAUUACUAUUGAUAGUCAUAAUAAUUGUAAUCACCAUUGUAGUUGUGCUGAUUUCAAA